rnacentral:rRNA from 1 species
CCUAUGGGGCGCAGCAGGCGCGAAAACUCCGCAAUGCGCGCAAGCGUGACGGGGGGACCCCAAGUGCCGAUGGUCUUUUGAUCGACGGUUUUUCGGAAGA